rnacentral:rRNA from 1 species
UAAGGAAUAUUGGUCAAUGGACGCAAGUCUGAACCAGCCAUGCCGCGUGGAGGAUUAAGGCCCUCUGGGUUGUAAACUCCUUUUAUCUGGGAAGAAAUGUACUUUUUCUUGAGUACUUGACGGUACCAGAGGAAUAAGCACCGGCUAACUCCGUGCCAGCAGCCGCGGUAAUACGGAGGGUGCAAGCGUUAUCCGGAUUUACUGGGUGUAAAGGGUGCUCAGGCGGAUUUGUAAGUCAGCGGUGAAAUCUUACAGCUUAACUGUGAAACUGCCUUUGAUACUGCAAGCCUAGAGUAUGGAAGAGAGUGAUGGAAUAUCUGGUGUAGCAGUGAAAUGCGUAGAUAUCAGAUAGAACACCAAUGGCGAAGGCAGUCACUUGGUCCAUUACUGACGCUAAAGCACGAAAGCGUGGGUAGCAAACA